GACUGGGAGCGUGGCGUCUCCUGUAACGUGGCUACUCACGGNCUCGGGUUACGGACUGAUUUGAGGUUGGGGUCCACUGUGUGCCGGGUAAGUCCAUGUUGACGGGACGUCCGCACUAAGCUGACCGUCAAUAUGGGUGCAAUGGGGGAGCCCGAUGCAUUCAGGUUGGCUAAAGAGAGAUGAACCGAGCGAGGGGUGAAAACCAGCAGCUAAAAGUCUCCGCGGUAAGCAGUAGUGGGAUCGCGUCCCGGAGUGGACUUCCGGUGCCAGCCUGACCAAUAUAGUCACACUGUAAUCUUUUU
rnacentral:SRP_RNA from 1 species